rnacentral:rRNA from 1 species
ACGUCAGGUCCUCAUGGCCUUUAUGUCUAGGGCUACACACGUGCUACAAUGGGUGGUACAAAGAGCAGCUAACUCGCGAGAGUAUGCAAAUCUCAAAAAGCCAUCCUCAGUUCGGAUUGGAGUCUGCAACUCGACUCCAUGAAGUUGGAAUCGCUAGUAAUCGCGGAUCAGCAUGCCGCGGUGAAUACGUUCCCGGGCCUU